GAUGAGGACAUUAUCUUUCCAGGCUAAUGCCAGAGUAAAGGAAAGGAAAAGAAAGAGAAAAGGUUUCAUGUUCAGUUAAAGUAUGAAGUCUUUAUCUGUUGUCUUGGGCAGAAGUAAUCAACCUUGAUGUCAGCUACUUAUCUUCCUCAUCAAUUUGAUUCAAAGGUCUCCAGUGUCUUCUAGUUUUGAAGAGGUGUCAGUGGUCAGAAGCAUUUGAUAAGGGCCCUUCCAGUGGAGCUCCAACACUCUCUUCGUCUGAUAACAUUUCCAGAAUACCCAAUCACCAUGCUCUAGAUUGUGACCAACAAGAACCCCUGAAUUGGGAUCUGGAAAGACUUCUUUAACCUGUUGAUGACAGGCUUGAGCAUAAGAUCUCAGAGACUUAGAAUAGCUGGUCACAGUAGCAUGAGAUAACAAAGGACAAGCAGAAGGCUGCAUAGACAUUGGUCUGCUGGUGACUCUUUCAUGUAGACCUUUUGCAGUAAGUCUUUCAAUGAAACUACUUUGGAAUCCUGAGACCUUUUGCGGGCUUCUCCUUGCCAAUUAAAGUUUCUGGCUUCCGAGGAUUCCCUUGGCAAUAACUUACUGCACAAAACAAGACAGACAAACAUGUGCACCUUAACAUAUCUGUGGUAGCCAAGGGAUGUUACUGACUCCUGGCCACAAGAAGGCCCUGUGUGCACUACCACCAAUUCCUGUGGAACCAUGGACUGGGCAAGUGAUUAAACCAGCAAACCCCAAGGGAUGGGGACUGUGGACUGAUUCCAAACAAAAUGGAGAAAGACAGCUGCUGCCAGCAGUUCCCAGUGUGGAAUCCAGGGAUAGAACUAAGGUCUAGGGUUUUUCCUCUGGGGAACUGUGGUCUGAAAGGCUACAGGCUUGAGCUCUGGGAAGACCCUUCUGACAGCUCAGUUGGGUCCUGGGCAAAACUACCCACUCAGCUGGGUUCUGGGCAGAAUUGCCUGCCCAGUUGGGCUCCAAGCAUAAUUGUCUGCCAGUUCAGGCUGACCACCCCUGUAAAGGAAAGCCAAUUAGAUGGAGACCUUGUACCCAACAGGAGUGGAGCUCAGAACUGAGAGGGGCUUCAGCCUUUGGAAACAGAGAGAAAGACAGUAAACCCAGAUGGUUCAUGGGGUACCACACUUGGAUUUCCUGUCCUUGGAUGCCAUUGGAAGUUCGCUUUAGAUCCCAGCACUGCCACCAAAUCUGUUAAAUAAUAAAAAUUCAGUUACAUAAUUUUAAAGAUCCAGUUGGCUUUAUUAACCAAUUCAUGAAUCAGUCAGUCUCCAUCUAGCACGUAGAGGGGGCUCUGAGGAGUUGUACGCGUGGAAGGUUUUUAUAGGAAGGAGGGUGGUACAAUAAGUUCUUAGCAAAAGAAAAGAAAGGAUAGUUUGACCUUGGCAGAAGGGCAGGAGAUCUUAUUAGGUGGAUUCCCUUAUCUUUUGGGGGAUGGAGAGGGCCCACGUGACAGAUUAACUCACAGAUGCUGAUCAGAAAAUUCCUGACUAUCCAGCCAAGACUACAUUUCUGGGGGGAAGUUAGAACUGUAGUUAGGUUGGGUAUUGAGUCCCGGUUUGGUGACCUGGCCUAUGUGACACUAUUUUGGGCCUGUGGUUUUCUUUUUAACAGCUUGGAAAAUGUUUUAUCCCCAUUGCCACUAGAGCAGGCUGCAUAAGCUGUGGCUUAUGUGUGCAUGCCAGACACAUGCAUGGGUUUAUCAGGAAAAGCUACUGAAUUGAUGUGUCAGGGGGAAGAGGGUAGUGAUGGGAAAGCCCCACUGACAGGCCUCAGUGUUAGGCUCUGGUUUUUAGUUGUGGCUCCUUUGGCAACUACUCCUUAACCCCCUCAGCUCUCAUGCCCACUAGGCCCUGAACUGAGGAGAGCUCAGACUAUGCUGCUUCCCUUCAACUUGACUGUCUCCAUCAUUUCCCUCCUCACCCUUGUGUUCUUUUCUCACAAGCCUGACUCAGACCUAGUUUUUGCCUGUUUGUUUUCUUUUGCUCACAGACUAUUCUCUUGGGCCAGAUUCCUACCCCCGCCCCCCAAUCAUCUUAUUCUGUCUCCUCAAAUGUUUUUUUCAAUGCAAUCUUGCCAAAAGCUAUUUUAGGGUUUGACUGUGGCUUUUUGGCAUCAUUAUCUCACUGGGUCUAGUUUGGAGGUUCCUCUGGGAUCUCUUGCUGGAGUCUUCUCUUUUUAGGAUUUCCCAGUCUAUAUCAGAAGCAUAAAAAAAAAAUCAUCACUUUGUCCUGGGGAGAAUGUUAUUUUCUCCAUUCAGAUAUUUAAAAAUCUUAAUGCUCUACAACUAGAGUUUUAUUUUGUAAGGGAUAUUCUCUGGUAAGCUGCCAAUGGCAACCUAUAAUAUGAAGUUCCAUAUGCCCCUUUGGGUUCAACUGUAAUCUUUAUGAGAUAAUUUCAUCCCCUUCUUUCUUGCUGUGUAACUGAAAUCCUCAAGAGCAAAGAAACUUUUGUAUCCCUCCCACAUCCCAGAACUAGCUUGGAGUUUGGCCUCAGGCAACAACCAACUAACAGUGCCUUGAAGAUAAUCCUCUGGGGAGUUAAUUAAGAUAGACUGAAUAA